rnacentral:siRNA from 1 species
AGGGGUCAAUUGACCCUGGUGAA